rnacentral:rRNA from 1 species
AUUGAACGCUGGCGGAAUGCUUUACACAUGCAAGUCGAACGGCAGCACGGGGGCAACCCUGGUGGCGAGUGGCGAACGGGUGAGUAAUACAUCGGAACGUGCCCAAUCGUGGGGGAUAACGUAGCGAAAGCUACGCUAAUACCGCAUACGAUCUACGGAUGAAAGCGGGGGAUCGCAAAGACCUCGCGCGAAUGGAGCGGCCGAUGGCAGAUUAGGUAGUUGGUGGGGGUAAAGGCUCACCAAGCCGACGAUCUGUAGCUGGUCUGAGAGGACGACCAGCCACACUGGGACUGAGACACGGCCCAGACUCCUACGGGAGGCAGCAGUGGGGAAUCUUGGACAAUGGGCGCAAGCCUGAUCCAGCCAUUCCGCGUGCAGGAUGAAGGCCUCGGUUGUAAC